GUUUUUUAGUGAAGCGAAGUUUUUUCAUUGGCCAAUAAAAAAUGAAACUCUCUUGCUUCUCUAAUAAAU